GACGAACGCUGGCGGCGUGCUUAACACAUGCAAGUCGAACGGAAAGGCCCUGCUUUUGUGGGGUGCUCGAGUGGCGAACGAGUGAGUAACACGUGAGUAACCUGCCCUUGACUUUGGGAUAACUUCAGGAAACUGGGGGUAAUACCGGAUAGGAGCUCCUGCUGCAUGGUGGGGGUUGGAAAGUUUCGGCGGUUGGGGAUGGACUCGCGGCUUAUCCGCUUGUUGGUGGGGUAGUGGCUUACCAAGGCUUUGACGGGUAGCCGGCCUGAGAGGGUGACCGGCGACAUUGGGACUGAGAUACGGCCCAGACUCCUACGGGAGGCAGCAGUGGGGAAUAUUGCACAAUGGGCGGAAGCCUGAUGCAGCAACGCCGCGUGCGGGAUGACGGCCUUCGGGUUGUAAACCGCUUUCGCCUGUGACGAAGCGUGAGUGACGGUAAUGGGUAAAGAAGCACCGGCUAACUACGUG
rnacentral:rRNA from 1 species